rnacentral:rRNA from 1 species
UACGUAGGGUGCGAGCGUUGUCCGGAAUUAUUGGGCGUAAAGAGCUCGUAGGCGGUGUGUCGCGUCGGUCGUGAAAACUUGGGGCUUAACCCUGAGCUUGCGGUCGAUACGGGCAGGCUAGAGUUCGGUAGGGGAGACUGGAAUUCCUGGUGUAGCGGUGAAAUGCGCAGAUAUCAGGAGGAACACCGGUGGCGAAGGCGGGUCUCUGGGCCGAUACUGACGCUGAGGAGCGAAAGCGUGGGGAGCGAACAGG